UAGGGAAUCUUCCACAAUGGACGCAAGUCUGAUGGAGCAACGCCGCGUGAGUGAAGAAGGUCUUCGGAUCGUAAAGCUCUGUUGUUGGUGAAGAAGGAUAGAGGCAGUAACUGGUCUUUAUUUGACGGUAAUCAACCAGAAAGUCACGGCUAACUACGUGCCAGCAGCCGCGGUAAUACGUAGGUGGCAAGCGUUGUCCGGAUUUAUUGGGCGUAAAGCGAGCGCAGGCGGAAUGAUAAGUCUGAUGUGAAAGCCCACGGCUCAACCGUGGAACUGCAUCGGAAACUGUCAUUCUUGAGUGCAGAAGAGGAGAGUGGAACUCCAUGUGUAGCGGUGGAAUGCGUAGAUAUAUGGAAGAACACCAGUGGCGAAGGCGGCUCUCUGGUCUGCAACUGACGCUGAGGCUCGAAAGCAUGGGUAGCGAACAGGAUUAGAUACCCUGGUAGUCCAUGCCGUAAACGAUGAGCGCUAGGUGUUGGGGACUUUCCGGUUCUCAGUGCCGCAGCA
rnacentral:rRNA from 1 species